rnacentral:rRNA from 1 species
AGCUUGCUUNUCUUGAGAGCGGCGGACGGGUGAGUAAUGCCUAGGAAUCUGCCUGGUAGUGGGGGAUAACGUUCGGAAACGGACGCUAAUACCGCAUACGUCCUACGGGAGAAAGCAGGGGACCUUCGGGCCUUGCGCUAUCAGAUGAGCCUAGGUCGGAUUAGCUAGUUGGUGAGGUAAUGGCUCACCAAGGCGACGAUCCGUAACUGGUCUGAGAGGAUGAUCAGUCACACUGGAACUGAGACACGGUCCAGACUCCUACGGGAGGCAGCAGUGGGGAAUAUUGGACAAUGGGCGAAAGCCUGAUCCAGCCAUGCCGCGUGUGUGAAGAAGGUCUUCGGAUUGUAAAGCACUUUAAGUUGGGAGGAAGGGCAGUUACCUAAUACGUGAUUGUUUUGACGUUACCGACAGAAUAAGCACCGGCUAACUCUGUGCCAGCANCCGCGGUAAUACAGAGGGUGCAAGCGUUAAUCGGAAUUACUGGGCGUAAAGCGCGCGUAGGUGGUUUGUUAAGUUGGAUGUGAAAUCCCCGGGCUCAACCUGGGAACUGCAUUCAAAACUGACUGACUAGAGUAUGGUAGAGGGUGGUGGAAUUUCCUGUGUANCGNUGAAAUGCGUAGAUAUAGGAAGGAACACCANUGGCGAAGGCGACCACCUGGACUGAUACUGACACUGANGUGCGAAAGCGUGGGGAGCAAACAGGAUUANAUACCCUGGUAGUCCACGCCGNAAACGAUGUCAACUAGCCGUU